CACACACACACAGCACCAAAACCUGCAACAAUUAAAUAAAAAGUUAUGCACAGCUUUUUCCCAUCCACACACUGUGACUAAACCUCACUUUCGUCUCAUAUUCACAGUACAGCGCUCCUCUACGCCGUCAGUUAACCCUGCAAUUAACCUGCACCUCAGCCAAACAUCAUUAAAGAAGUGAGCGAAGGAGAGAGAGGGAGAUUGAGGAAGACGGGAGACAGAUAAAUGGAGCAAAUUGGGUAGGCCCCAGUCGAGAGGUUUGGGCGUUGGAGCAUCAGAGAGGUUUUGCAUACAGCUGUAUUCAAGUCUGGGGCUGGAGGAGCAUUAUGGAAAUGAGAUGCAUCCAGAGAAACAGCAGAAUGGAGUCCAGGAGAUGUUUCUCUGCUCCAUUCUUCAUCACUGUAACCAGGGGCAGACGAUG